AGAGUUUGAUCAUGGCUCAGAACGAACGCUGGCGGCGUGGAUAAGACAUGCAAGUCGAACGCUGAUUUGCGGGUAGCAAUAUUCGUAAGUCGGAGUGGCGCAAGGGUGUGUAACACGUGGGUAAUCUGCCGUGAAGUCUGGGAUAACUUGCUGAAAGGCGAGCUAAUACCGGAUGUGAACGCAAGUUCAAAGUUGGGGACCGUAAGGCCUGACGCUUCACGAUGAGCCCGCGGCCUAUCAGCUAGUUGGUGAGGUAACGGCUCACCAAGGCUAAGACGGGUAGCUGGUCUGAGAGGACGACCAGCCACACUGGAACUGAGACACGGUCCAGACACCUACGGGUGGCAGCAGUCGAGAAUUUUUCUCAAUGGGCGAAAGCCUGAAGGAGCGACGCCGCGUGGGGGAUGAAUGGCUUCGGCCCGUAAACCCCUGUCAUUUGCGAACAAAUUGUUUCACCUAAUACGUGAAACAUUGAUUGUAGCGGAAGAGGAAGGGACGGCUAACUCUGUGCCAGCAGCCGCGGUAAUACAGAGGUCCCAAGCGUUGUUCGGAUUCACUGGGCGUAAAGGGUGCGUAGGCGGCCAGGUAAGUUUGAUGUGAAAUCCCGCAGCUCAACUGCGGAACUGCAUUGAAUACUAUUGGCUUGAGGAAUGGAGGGGAGACUGGAAUUCUCGGUGUAGCAGUGAAAUGCGUAGAUAUCGAGAGGAACACCAGUGGCGAAGGCGAGUCUCUGGACAUUUCCUGACGCUCAGGCACGAAAGCCAGGGGAGCAAACGGGAUUAGAUACCCUAGUAGUCC
rnacentral:rRNA from 1 species